rnacentral:lncRNA from 1 species
AACUACUUUUUAAGUAAUGAGAAUUAUAAUUUAUGAACAAUAUCUUAUUUUCCCAUAUAUAUUUUUUCAUUUGAAUACAUUACUACCAGCGUCCACGUUGAUUAUCUAUUUCAUUUUCAUAAAAACAAUGAGUGGAGGUCUUUGAGCAUUUGAACAUGAACUACUCCACUUGGUCACCAUCCGUCGUUAAAACGUGCUUUUUACAGUACAUUAUUAUUUAAUAGCCCAUACAUCCACUAAAAACAGCGAAAGGUGUGUACUACGUGAAAUAUAUUCAGCAACAGUCCUAAACGGUUAAUUAAAAGAUACUUUUAGUAUACUUUUUCUAUUUUUUUCAAUAUAUUUCUGUCAUUCUUUCACUCUUCCGUUAAUGAUCUAAUAAUAACUCGCUCAGUUGUCGCUUAGUAAGAAUUUGUCUGUCGGAUAUUUCAUUUUUCGUCAACUUUCAAAGAUUUUUUAUCAAAUCAAAGUCUUAACUAGCAGUUCUGUCGAAAACCAUUGCCUGGUUGUCAAAGAUGAAUUUUGUAACAGUUACUGUCUAAGUCAUACAUGAAUGUGUACUUGAAUGUCUAAAGGAAUCCUGGAUCUGAGAAAAUGUCCUAUAGUUGUUUACACUAUAAAAGAUUAAUUUUCACUUCGUGUUUAAUUUUUUUGUUCACUUUUUCUUCUAAAUAACAAACAAAAAUCCAAACUAAAGAGUUUGUUCUCUAAAUGCUCGAAAGUUUUUUUGACAGUGGUUUUGGAAACUUCAUUGGUACAUGCCAUUUUCCUGUUGGAGUUAUCGAGGUUUAUUGAAAGUUUUGUUUUCCUCGAUGAAGUCGUUGCAGUGUAACAAACACACAAACGUCACCUGAUACACACGAAUAGAUAGAAAUAUAAUGCGUAACAACUAUAUAUACAGUAAGCAUUAAGACUAAACACGAACUUAUUCGCUGUGAGCCGAUGAGUAGAGGGGAUUUGGCAGUUUUCGCCAGCGCUGUUAGUGGCAGUUUUGUGCAUUGAAUUUGAACAAUUUUAUCAGAAAAGUAUAAGUUUCACACCGCGAGAGAGCGCUACCGACGAAACUCAGCCAGUAAAAUCAGGUAACCUCUAAAUUUCACAUAAUCUUCUUCUUUUUCUCAAUGGCCUCUUGCUUAAACAGUCAUCCAGUCGAACGAAUGUUUAUAUUAAAUAUUAAAAUUAUAAUGAAUAAAAUAAAAAAAUAUAAUUACUUUUACUAUUAAUUCUGUGUAUUCGUUCAGUAAUCAGAUUACAAUAAUAUUUCAGUUCGUCAUUUGUGUUUUUCUAGAUAAAUAUCUAUUUUUCUCGUUUUAUAUAUUUCACAUCCACCAAUUUUAUCAGAAAAGUACAAGUUUCAGACCGCGAGAGAGCGCAACCGUCGAAACUCACAGGCAAUCAGUGAAUUGUACUCAUAGACAUAAUAAGAAUAUAUUAAGUAGGGUAUGGGCCACUCUGAGAAUAGAGGUGAAACGACGAUAUUCAUAGUUUUGUUCGCGAAGACAAUCCCUGAGUGAUUCCUGACUGAUUCGGAUGCGCAGUUCCGUUGUCAAGCGUUCGCGGUGUUAAAAAUCCGGGACAUAGAGUUUGAUUUUCGCGGAGUGUUUCUAACUGGUUCAUGAUCAGUCAGAAACAGGUCCAUUUGCUUACAGGCACGGUAAGUGGUCAAGUUUUUUGUUUGUUGUUGAUUAAUCCUAAUCAACUCGUUAAUUUUAUAAAUCAAUAAUCUCGUUUUAUUUUUAAUCUACCCAUUUAACGUAAACUUUAUGAUAAUAUACGUAACUAUACUUUUUCUUUUAUAUUAUAAUAUAAUAGAAACGUUAUAACAUCCAAUAUUAAAACUUAUAUAAAACAUUAUCUUAAAUGUAAACCAUCAGAUAAUGUUUGUUAAGGUUAGAAAUGUUGUCUUUUGAGUUGUAUUUUGUCUAAUUUGCGGCUAGAAACAAUAAGAAUUGUCCGAAAAUCGUUCGCGGAGAAUUGUAAACUGUAAACUAAUAACUAACCUAAACUUGUCUAAAACUAGUCAGGGGACGACUUUGUUCGUCUCCACGAACAAAGCUCGUUAGUUAUCUUUGAUAGAUAACAGUGAUAGAUAGAUCAACGACAGAGUGCUCUGCGUUUCACUAUUUUGCUCACAAUGUCUAUUCUUAUGAUGUCUAUGGUUUUAGUUCAUGACACUGAUGCGCAAUGACAUCUGAGUUACAUAUUACAAGGUCAGCAUUGUUGCAAAUCUAUUUAUAAUAUAAUAAUAGGAGACAACUCCAGGUAAUAGAAACAAACACGUAAAUACAUUUUACAGAUCAAUUAUAAAGAAGUUGUACAUAAAAAAUUAAAUGUACAAUGCGGCUAUAAUAAUUUGAUAAUCUCUUAUAUCAAAAGACUAUCUUUAGAUUUUUAGUUAAGUAUUUGAU